AAUAAAUAGAGUAUUCUCAGGAUUGAAUAUACAAACUAAUUGCUAAUUGAUUAUAUAUGCAGCUGACAAUGUCCAACAUGGAGGGCUAGCUCUUAAAUUUCAGAGAGACAUCGAAGGCAGGAAGAGCCUUCGUCAAUGGUGACAUUAACAAAUAAAUCUCUCAUGUAUUUCGAGGAUUUGACGCUUCCCACUGUUCAGGUUAUAGUAAUGACAGCAAGCAUGAGAUGUUCUCGAUGUCGUCAAAGAGUUUCCCAAGUUAUUUCCAGGAUGUCUGGGUUGAAAGAGUACACAAUAUAUAGAUGUGCACAACAAACAAGUAAUUAUGAAGGGAGAUACUGGAAAGCAGUGGAAGAAAGAGGAUGAUCAUUCCAAUGACGAAAUGAACAAUGAGCGUUGUCAGAGAUUAAAACUGUUCUUGAGAUCUUUCGUGGCGACUUGCUUUGGUAAUUAUAUGGCUAAUUAAGACAACCUAUGAAUUAAUAUAGCUACUUUUGCCGUUGAAAGUAAUUGAUUAGUGCUAUUUGUCAUGUGAUUUUUGUUUAUUUUUGGUCCGUAUUCUUAUCAAUAUAGCGACUCUGAAAAUUAAGCACCUUGAAAUUCACAUUCUAUCAAAACAACCGUAUACAUGCCAAGAUUGGCUUUGAAUUAUGAUGGGAAAAUGAUAAAGGCCAUGCGUCUUGCCCAA